rnacentral:misc_RNA from 1 species
CAGACGUACAAUAAGUGUGUCUCUGGCGGCUCGUAUCCACUAUACAUCCAUAAACCCGUGUGCACUGUUAAGGAGUAAGAAAGAAGGGGAGGGAGAGAGUGCAUGUGCUUUGCAUAUAACUCUCUCUCUUUCUCUUCCUUUCUCUCUCUGGUUAAUUACACAAACUCGUAUGGAUGUGUAUGAACGUGAGAUAUAUCGUUGGACCGUCACUGGCCAACAAAUAUAACACAACUUUCAACAACGGAUCCAUGCUUGGUGCAUGUUUUGUGUGGCCUCUGGUGU